AACGAACGCUGGCGGCAUGCCUAACACAUGCAAGUCGACCGAAGGCUUCGGCCUUAGUGGCGCACGGGUGCGUAACGCGUGGGAAUCUGCACAUUGGUUCGGCAUAACAGCUGGAAACGGCUGCUAAUGCCGGAUGAUGACGAAAGUCCAAAGAUUUAUCGCCCGAGGAUGUGCCCGAGUUGGAUUAGGUGGUUGUUGGGGUAAAGGCCUACUAAGCCGACGAUCCAUAGCUGGUCUGUGAGGAAGAGCAGCCACACUGGGACUAGGACACGGCCCAGACUCUUACGGGAGGGAGGAGUGGGGAAUAUAGGAAAACGGGGGCAGGCCUGAACCAGCAAUGCCCGGUGAGUGAUGAAGGCCGGAGAGUUGUAAAGCUCUUUUAACCGGGAAGAUAAUGACGGUACCGGGAGAAUAAGCCCCGGCUAACUCCGUG
rnacentral:rRNA from 1 species